rnacentral:lncRNA from 1 species
UAGCUUAUCACUGUGUGGGCAUAUGAUCCAGAAAGUGCAGAUCCUGAUGAGUUGCUGGGGAAUGCAGAAGAACCUUCAAUAAUUAUUAUGGAGAUAUUUUGGUAAAAAUGGAAAAUAAUGUAAUAUUUUAUUCCAAGAUUAAUACUAGAGAUGCAGUAAAGCUGCAUUUAUGGACAAAUUACACAACAAGAGCAUUCAUUUUCUUAAGUACAUCUGGUCAAACAUAUUUCCUGUAUGCUUUGGAUGAUGGCACAAUACAAAUACAGGACUAUCCCUUACAUCUGGAAGCACAAAGUAUAGCUUUCACAACAAAAGACAAAUGCCCAUACAUGGCAUUUCAUAACAAUGUUGCUCAUGUUUUUUACUUUUUGGACAAGGGAGAGGCUCUGACAGUUUGGACUCAGAUCGUCUAUCCAGAAAACACUGGUCUGUAUGUUAUUGUGGAAUCUUAUGGCCCAAAAAUAUUACAAGAGAGUCAUGAGAUUUCCUUUGAAGCUGCCUUUGGAUACUGCACCAAAAC